ensembl:lncRNA
AAAAAACUUGCAUACACAAGCUCAGACCUGACGUGAGAUUUCAUCGCAGCCUGCGCUCACGUUCAAAUUGAUAAAUGCCAAGCUCAACGUUGAAAUGAGCGUUUUUAACUGCGCAAUUACCGUGUGUGGAUUCGACUUGCCGCCCCUUUGACUCGGAAUCGCACUACACGGAUACCUGCUCAGAAAGACAAGAGAAACGCUAGUUUGGGAGAUUAAAUUCAACACAAUGAGCGGCCAACAGGGAAUGCAGAGGACUUCUGCGUGGUGUGCUCCUUUGCCGAAGAAAAUGCAGAUGAGAGCAUGAUUGAAAAGGUGCAGUGUGGAUUGUGCAGUCGGUGGGCACAUUUUGAGUGUGCCCAAUAUGCCCAUAAAAAUAAGGCUGUAUAUAUUUGCAAGAAAUGACUUCAAAUAAAAAGAUUUGAGAUCUUUUGGUUG